ACCACUCCUGUGCCCAAGUGGUUAGAGCGUCCGCCUCAGAUGCGGAAGGUCGUGGGUUUGAUCCCCGGUCGAGUCGUA